GUUUCUGCUCUGCCUUUUUGGCUAAGAUCAAGUGUAGUAUCUGUUCUUGUCAGUGUAAUGAAAGCAAAGUCAUCAAGUUGGAGUUUCCUUUGACCAUUUCUUUUGUUCUGAAUAUUGUAACAUAUAUACUAUAUACAAUUCCUCAUUUAGCAACCAAUUCAUUUAACGACCUAGGCGGGGAAAUGGAACUUGG
rnacentral:snRNA from 1 species